rnacentral:tRNA from 1 species
GCGCGGAUGGCGGAAUUGGUAGACGCGCUAGCUUGAGGUGCUAGUGAGUAACAUCGUGGGGGUUCGAGUCCCCCUUCGCGCA